AAUUAAAAAUUGGGGAGCCAAACUGGAGGCUGAGAGGAUGAGCAAUCAUCGACCCAGAACCUGAUCCUGGUAAUGCAGGCGUAGGUAAUCAUAAGAUAAUUAAA
rnacentral:ncRNA from 2 species